AACAAAAUUACAACAAACAAGAUCUCCUCUUCCAUACAAACACAAAAACAUCUAAAAACUCAAAAACUUCAUCAUGUUUAUAAGUUCAUGUUUUGUUCUCAACUCAAACGACCAUCAGUUGACUUUCCUGCCUCAAUCCUGAUGCCGUUAGCUCACCGUUAACUCCUCACCAUACUCCGUUAUCUCAUCGGCUAAAUGUAAUGUCCAUUCUAACUCAAGCACGGCAGCUCCGCCUCUCUCCACCACCACAAACCACCGCCAUCUCCGGCAUACUUUACGACCCCACCUCUUUCUCUUUAGCUCUCAAACACCCAGAUUCAUCUAUCUCUCUCUACCCCAAUAUCUCACCUUUUUCAUCACCACUUUCACUCUCUACCUCCGCCGUCACCGCCUUAUCUCCGCCGUCUUCCGCUGCCGCGUUUCUCCACCUCCGAUCAACUGGGUUUUCUCGUGUGAUGUUCAUUGUGUCAUCCCCUCACCUUGCCGGAAACUACAUAUUGUUACGCUUUUAUAUACUUGGUUCCGAUAAAUUCGCUAGGGUUAGGGUUUGCUGUAAUAAUAAUAAUAAUAAUAGUAAUAAUAAAAGUGAAAUGUUUUUUGAUGAAAAGAAGUUUGGGGUACUAAUUAAGGUUAAUCAUGGUGUGUCGGUUAAGGUUGUUGGUUCAGUUAAUGUUUUUGCUCUGUAUUCGGUUUCGGAUAGUAAAGUUCGGGUCUACGCGGUGAAGAGUGUUUUUGGUGAAGGUGAUGAAGUGAAGUUGAUGAAAACCGCGGUUAUUGAUUGCGAAUUGCCGGUUUUUAGCAUUAGUGUUUCAGGUGGGUUUUUGAUGUUAGGGGAAGAGAAUGGUGUUCGGGUUUUUAAUUUAAGGACUCUUGUGAAAGGGAAAGUUAAGAAAUUUGAUAAUAAAGUGAAUGUUAAAAAGGUUAGUUUGGUUAAUGGAAUGGUUUCGGAUGGGGGUUCGGUUUUGUAUGUGAAGAAUGGCAAAGAGAAGAUUGGGAAACAUUCUGACAAUUCCGUGAAGUUGAAGCCUGUGAAAAUGAGACAAAAUUCUAAUGAAGGUGGUGUUCGUUUUGUGGCAUUUAAGAGCAAGGAGUUUGAGGAUCAAAACUCCUCAAAAGUGCCAUCGAUGUCGUUAAAGGCGAUUUCUAUCCACUUUUUAGCCCAUAAUAAGUUUCUGAUUUUAGACUCUCAUGGCGAGCUGUACCUGCUAUCGUUGUCUAAUCCUAACUCUGGAUCAGGAUCGACAUGUGAUAUGAAAAAAUUAACUCUCACCAUGAAAGUUCAAAAUCUAGCAGUUCUUCCUGAUGAUUCCACAAGAGCUCAGACUGUUUGGGUAUCAGAUGGCGAGUAUACCAUCCAUGCAAUAAUUGUAUCUGAUACAGAAUCUCCUGCCGAUGAUAAUGAUACCAAGGACAUUGAAGAAAGACUUCAAAGCAUGGCCACUAAAGUGAUCUUCACCAGUGAAAAGAUUCAAGAAAUAAUUCCUUUAGCCGCUAAUGCAGUAUUGCUACUUGGACAAGAUUUAUCAAGGCUUUUAUCUUCAUUCACAUGGUGAUGAUUUCUUCAACUUACGAAAUCCAGUGGAUCGUCUUUUUGUUUAAAGAAUGGAUGAUACGUGUUCUCUUCCUUCCAGCGUCUCAUUGUUAUUAUCUGACUAAUCACGAGCUUCAGGUGUCUGUUAUACUUACAUAGUGUCUAACUCUCAGGGUGAGCUCUUGAAGAGAAUGUUAAGCAACCAGUUCGGUGGAUUGUCAUUUGAGUUUAAUCAUGGUGAGGAGCGAGUUUCUUGACAGUUCAUGCCACCUAUGCAAGUGCCAUGCUCCCGGGAGACAUACUUUUGACUAUUUGCAUGGAACUUGAACUUCUGGUACUCAGAAUCAACUAUGCGAGGAGCGACCCACUGGAUGUUUAGAAGAUGCACUGUAUUACAUAAUAAAUCAUUUGCUUUUGGCGAUUAUGUAGCCUCUCUUGCCAUCUGCUGCUAAUAAACUUAAACAAAUUGGUAUUUUGUUUGUUUCUCUUUUAUGUAUGCAAAUAGGAUAACUAAGCAUCAUCAAGAUUGUGUAAUCUGAAGAUUGAUGACCGUGAUAUUGAUGCUUU